UUAGUACAGCAGCAGCAGCAGCUAAUUAAGACUGUGAUCUGAUCCUGUCUGAUGCUGAUGAGCAAAGCCCAGGCUGGGCAGGCAGGCAGCCUCACGUGUGUGUGGGUGUGUGGGCGCGCCGUCAUAAUUUGCAGCGGCUGUCUCCGGCGACGUCGACCGCCGGCGAGCCACGGCCGUCCGCGUCGCUGUCGGCACAGCCGUCGGUAUCGAGUGCGUGCGCGUGGGGCGCGCGCUGCACUGGCCGCGGUCCCGGCCGGCUGCCGCCGUUGGCUGGCUGCACCGGUCGCCCUCCGAGGAGACACAAUACGACAGAGAACUCAGGGAUUCAUAUCCUGCUCGUCGUAUCCCAGAUUCCCAGCUUGAUCUGGCAUUUCGUGAGAGCUGAAAUUAACCUGGAAGGCAAGGAGGAUACUGAUGACUCUGCAGUUGGCAAAGCAGAGGAUCCUGAAUUCCCAAUCCUAUGUAACAUCCAAAAUUAGAAGCUCACCCAAACAGUUAGCUUCCGAUUCAGAUUUUAAGAAGCUGUAGUUGUAUAAUACAGAAAAUGAACUAGAAGCCAGAAACUGGAAAACCCAGCUUUUCCA